CUUUAACGGCCGCAGUACACUGACUGUGCUAAGGUAGCAUAAUAAUUUGUCUUUUAAUUGAAGACUGGUAUGAAAGGCGCCAUGGAAAUAAGCUGUCUUGGAGGAACGAUAUAAAAUUUACUUAAAAGGUGAAAAUUCCUUUAUUUUAUUAAUAAGACGAGAAGACCCUUAGAAUUAUCACAAUACUUGUUUUCAAGGAAAGUUUUUGUUGGGGCAACAUUAUCAAAGGAGUAAACUGAUGAUCAUUAAAUGAAGAACAAAAUCAUUAUAUUUAACAUGGACUUAAUUACCUAAGGGAUAACAGCAUAAUUCGUAUACGAGAGUAUGACCUCGAUGUUGGAUUAGGGACUUUUUUCGCUAGACGUGAGAAAAGAUUGUUCUGUUCGAACAAAUAUACCCUACGUGAUCUGAG
rnacentral:rRNA from 1 species